UAUGCUUAUAAAUCAGUUUCCAUGUGUUCAAGGCUUGUUUAUGAAAAUUGGACAUAAUAGGAAUUUAAGAACACUUAAAAUCACAAGUUAGUAAAAAGUGUAGGCCACCACAUCAGUUAAACAGACUUACGCAUCCAUGUGGUUGUUAAAGCGUAAAAACAGAUGAAAGACACAUUAGCAGCGGGCUGGUGCAAAAACUCCAUUGCAAAUACUGGGGUAAAAUUAAUUUCUAUAUUUUAAAGACAUGACGCGAAAAAAUAGAAGUUAAUGCAGUGCUUCUUGUUUGGUCUGAUACACUUUAUAUUGUAUCUCAGCCAGGCAGUGAAGAUCGCUGUGUUUUUUUAUUUUUAUUUAAGAAAUCAGAUCUGAAACAUGGCGAUUAUCUAUGAGAUGACAAUUUACCGGAAGCCCUAGGGCUGGCUGACUAAAAUUAAAAGUCCGUGUAAAUAUACUCCUUUGAGCGUUUUAAGUCACAUUUAAAAACAUUGUCAGAAUGUCUUCCAAUUAUAAUGUGCAAGAUGAAAGCUGCUGACUAUUACACGCUUUUUAAAGGACAGAUAAAUGGGCGCUGCUAAAGAAACUUAACAUUCCCUCCACCGAACAUAGUAGCCUGCUGAUUUUAUUAGUUUGAUUUACUUUCCUCAAACUGAGUGUUUGACGCGCAUGCGCGGCAUUGCGCGCUCACCAAACGAGGCUCAAACAAGUCUGUGAAGUUUACUACAGUGCAGUCUGAGGAUCUUUUUCGCCGUUUCAAAAUGAAGAUACUUGCUUGAAGCCAAGGGUAUAUCCGUAAAAUGUAAGUUAAGGGUUGUGGAAACAUUUCUCAAACGUAUUUACAGCACAGUUUACAGUAAACUGUAGGCCUAUGCUACUUUGUUUGUUUGAAGCGUUCAAAGUUUCGGACAACUUGGAGGCUCAGUUAGAGACUAUGCAAGAAAGGCUAUGAAGAGCAAGCUCCAAGUUGGCGCCACCUCCUGGCAGAACACUGGAGGCACUCAGGUCAAGAAGAUUCUCCACUGAGUGCUCUGUUUUCCACAGCCAAGGAAGACAGCAGGUUGCAGAAGAGCCCUGUGCCACUGCGUGUCGGGUUCAGCAUUGGAGGUGGCGUAUAGUGAGAUAUAGUUUCUUCCCAGUUCUUCAUGAGCUCCCUGCUCAGCUGGAUCACACUGCUGAAAGGCACUCCAGUAUAGACAGAACAGGGAACAUUCUACACGAGACAACAGGAAAACACAAAGCUGCAAGUGAGUGAUGAUGCA